AGUGAACGCUGGCGGUAGGCCUAACACAUGCAAGUCGAACGGCAGCACAGUAAGAGCUUGCUCUUACGGGUGGCGAGUGGCGGACGGGUGAGGAAUACAUCGGAAUCUACUUUUUCGUGGGGGAUAACGUAGGGAAACUUACGCUAAUACCGCAUACGCCCUACGGGUGAAAGCAGGGGAUCUUCGGACCUUGCGCGAUUGAAUGAGCCGAUGUCGGAUUAGCUAGUUGGCGGGGUAAAGGCCCACCAAGGCGACGAUCCGUAGCUGGUCUGAGAGGAUGAUCAGCCACACUGGAACUGAGACACGGUCCAGACUCCUACGGGAGGCAGCAGUGGGGAAUAUUAGACAAUGGGCGCAAGCCUGAUCCAGCCAUACCGCGUGGGUGAAGGAGGCCUUCGGGUUGUAAAGCCCUUUUGUUGGGAAAGAAAAGCAGCAGGUUAAUACCCCGCUGUUCUGACGGUACCCAAAGAAUAAGCACCGGCUAACUUCGUG
rnacentral:rRNA from 1 species